GACGAACGCUGGCGGCGUGCCUAAUACAUGCAAGUAGAACGCUGAAGGAGGAGCUUGCUUCUCUGGAUGAGUUGCGAACGGGUGAGUAACGCGUAGGUAACCUGCCUGGUAGCGGGGGAUAACUAUUGGAAACGAUAGCUAAUACCGCAUAAGAGUAGAUGUUGCAUGACAUUUGCUUAAAAGGUUCAAUUGCAUCACUACCAGAUGGACCUGCGUUGUAUUAGCUAGUUGGUGGGGUAACGGCUCACCAAGGCGACGAUACAUAGCCGACCUGAGAGGGUGAUCGGCCACACUGGGACUGAGACACGGCCCAGACUCCUACGGGAGGCAGCAGUAGGGAAUCUUCGGCAAUGGACGGAAGUCUGACCGAGCAACGCCGCGUGAGUGAAGAAGGUUUUCGGAUCGUAAAGCUCUGUUGUAAGAGAAGAACGAGUGUGAGAGUGGAAAGUUCACACUGUGACGGUAUCUUACCAGAAAGGGACGGCUAACUACGUG
rnacentral:rRNA from 1 species